rnacentral:rasiRNA from 1 species
CCCUCAAACGCAGCAGCCGAUCCCG